CCUACGGGGGGCUGCAGUGGGGAAUAUUGGACAAUGGGGGGAACCCUGAUCCAGCCAUGCCGCGUGUGUGAAGAAGGCCCUCGGGUUGUAAAGCACUUUCAGUGAGGAAGAACGCCUGGUGGUUAAUACCCAUCAGGAAAGACAUCACUCACAGAAGAAGCACCGGCUAACCCCGUGCCAGCAGCCGCGGUAAUACGGAGGGUGCGAGCGUUAAUCGGAAUUACUGGGCGUAAAGCGCGCGUAGGUGGCUUGAUAAACCGGUUGUGAAAGCCCCGGGCUCAACCUGGGAACGGCAUCCGGAACUGUCAAGCUAGAGUGCAGGAGAGGAAGGUAGAAUUCCCGGUGUAGCGGUGAAAUGCGUAGAGAUCGGGAGGAAUACCAGUGGCGAAGGCGGCCUUCUGGACUGACACUGACACUGAGGUGCGAAAGCGUGGGUAGCAAACAGGAUUAGAUACCCGGGUAGUC
rnacentral:rRNA from 1 species